UAAUUAAAAUUCAUUGUUGCACAAAUUAUCAUGUACAAAUACGUAUGAGUAGGAGUAUAUCUAAUAUCUUUGUAGAAUGAAAUGUACCAAUCAGCUCACCAGCAUGUUGAGGGGCUGGGCUAGGCACAUUUCAAUCCGUAGAUCCUAUAUAAACCCGCUUACUACUUUCCCGCCAUCUACAGAGAGCGAGAGAUUCACCCGCCAUUUUCAUUUCCAUUCCCAAUUCCAAAAACCAGACAUGUCUUCUUCUUCGGCCCCCUCCAAAACCCUAAUGGAUUUCUUCCAACCACCUUCCAAACGAAUCAAAACCACUCCCACUUCACUCUUAAUCCCCAACUCCAACGACGCCAAUGGCUCCUCCGCCUCACUCUCCGUUGACCAGAAAUCACGCGUCGAUUACAACAAGCACCUCGCAAAAUCCAAGCGCAACCUCAAAAUAUGCCUGGAUAAGGUCUCCAACUCCAAAGGUGUUGUGAAACUGGAGGAGCUGCUGGUGGAGGACACGUGGUUGGAAGCACUCUCUGGUGAGCUCCAGAAACCUUAUGCACUGAGCCUCUCAAAGUUUGUUGAAUCUGAGAUUUGCAAUAGCAACAUUGAUGCUGUGUAUCCUCCUUCUCACCUCAUCUUCAAUGCUCUUAACUCUACCCCUUUCGAUAGGGUUAAGGCCGUUAUCCUUGGACAGGACCCUUAUCAUGGACCUGGUCAAGCAAUGGGCCUUUCAUUCUCAGUCCCUGAGGGCGUGAAAGUUCCUUCCAGUUUGGUAAAUAUAUUUAAGGAGCUCAAAGAAGAUCUUGGUUGUUCAGUUCCACGUCAUGGAAAUCUAGAAAAAUGGGCUGUACAGGGUGUUCUCUUACUUAAUACCGUACUCACAGUCAGGAAACAUCAAGCAAACUCUCAUGCAAAAAAGGGAUGGGAACAAUUUACUGAUGCUGUUAUCAAAACAAUCUCACAGAAAAGGGAAGGUGUUGUCUUUCUGUUGUGGGGCAACUCUGCUCGGGAGAAAUCUAGGUUAAUUGAUGCAACAAAACAUCAUAUACUUCAAGCUGCACAUCCUUCUGGUUUGUCUGCAAAUAGAGGCUUCUUUGGGUGCAGGCACUUCUCUCGCACAAACCAGCUUCUGGAGAAAAGGGGCAUAGAUCCCAUAGAUUGGCAACUAUAAUAUGUAGUGUUUGAACUUUGAAGCCCAAAGCUUUGUUCCUUUUCAUCAAAACCUUUUUGAAGUUUGGUUCAAGUUCUUGGGUCUUGUGUAAAGAUGAUUCUGUUUAUUCAAAGUCGAUCAUGACAGAAGAUGCUUUUUGUCGAUACUUUGGUCCUGUAGUGUUGUCAGCUAGGAGAUUCUGCAGUCCCGACAUAUAUAGUAUUUUAUCUUAUUCAUGUUCUCCCAUACUAAAUGGAUGUCUUGUGUUAUACAUGUUAUGCUAAAAUAUCAACGAAUGAUAUAUUUUGGGGGGAGAUUCUUAAAAGGACAUGCAACACUUAUUUUCCUCUAUAUUUGUUAUCAAAGCUCGCAAAUAUCCAGAGUAUAUUGAGUGUUGAACUUGCAUAAUAUUGUGUGUAGAAUAAGUGAAAGGACUAGCAAGUAAUUACUUGGAAAGCUGAUGAUUAUGGUUCUGUUAAGCAACGGUUUGCAUAUAUGCUUCAGUAAGAUUAUUCAACUUUGGACAUCUAGGUAUUACCGAUCGUGAAAUAGUUAAGCGAAUAAAAGGGCAUUUCCUUUGAGAGAUACAAGUUCUUGUGCCAAUCAAAUAUAUCAUGUAUGCUCCCAAAGGAAGAAUUAUACAAAAUUUUCU